rnacentral:tRNA from 1 species
AAGCGAAGCCCGCAGGCAAUGAAGACUGCUAAUCUCCCCCUAUUUGGUUGAACUCCAAAACUCGCUUG